rnacentral:lncRNA from 1 species
GCUGGAAACCAGGGUCAAAAAUGAACUAAUAUAUAGUUUCUAGCUUGAUUUCAUAGAAGGAAGAAAUAAGUGUGGACUACAUUUUUUCCCUCUGAUUCCGAAGCUGUUGCCACUGUAGUUACCAUUAUCUUGCUUCUCUUGUAUAAAUGACACGGUGAUGGCAUCCCUGGAGGAUGCAAGUCUCCACCUUACAUUCACAGGUAAUCACUGCCGCGCCCCUGUCUUGAGGAGUUGUUGCUCCAGAAAGGAGGCUUCACUCUUCAUCUCAUCAUCAGUGGGUAUGGAGGCCCAAUCAACAUGGAGACUAUUUCAAAGUGACGGAGGAGACCAAGGGCACUCAAAGGAAAGACGCACUGGUAGCUGUGCACUAUGGCCUUCAGUUCCUGGGCAUUCACUAAUUUAGGAGAGCAUGGAGAUGGCUGCUUUUCAAUAGGUGCAGCCUCUCUGCAGCUCUGGCGCAGUCUUGUGGCUCUGGGAGGGUGGGUAGCAAGCAAACGUUUCCAUCAGAAAACUGUUUUUAGGUGCCAAAAAUGCACUUGGCCAUGGAACUACUGCAAAAGCCUCCGGGGGAGCCUGUGUGUUUUUGCAUGGUUGUGGGUUGCUAGGUCUGGGAUAACCUGGGGCAGGCUGCAUUGCUCAACAAAUCCCUAAAUGAAGUGCUUCAGCAAGGGAACGUGGGGUUAGCUCGCCUGGCUUCCUGUCAGGGUUGGCAAGGCCCACUGCCACAUCGAAGACCUCAUUUCAAGGUAUGUUCAGCUGAAAGCAUGGAACAACGUGGUCAGACCAGAUGGCUGGACCAUAUGGAAGGGAGCCAGCUUGUUUAAGGUAAUCUGAAACAUUUUUUAAUAAUAACUUUAUUUAAAAAAAUUUUUUUCCCACCUGCUUCUAAAGAACAGGGGAGCCAAAUCCGUGUAACUAGGGAGACGUCAUCAUAGCAGAAACUGUCUCACACACGUCGUUCUGUUCUGUGGUCCAGUAACUGUGCUCCCAAGAGAGAUCCUGCUGAGACUUCCCGGGAUGUACUACCCUGAUGAUGUCAGUACCAUCCACCCUGGAGCCCCGGAGAACUUGAAAUUUGAUUUAGUCUAUAAUGUGAUCUGCUUCAUUGCUAGAGGAGACCGCAGGCCCUCCCAGGGUCCCCAGGAGAGUGCGGCCUGAGUCAGCUCUCAUUUGAAUGAGGCCCCUCCAUCUUCCCCUGUUUGGAGCCACCAGCAUGUCUUCAAGAGGCUCUUCAGCAAAGAGCACCUUCUUGAGCACUUUGGGAUUCCAUAUUUGACCCCAAACAAACAGCAGGGAAAUCUGUCCGCACAGCUGCGCGUGUGCACCAGUGUACGUGGACCUCAGGGUAUAUCCAGAAGAUGUUCACAGGGCAAAAGGGAAGAAAUUCUGGCAGCCAUGAUUGUUUCUCUUGUCUUUGCUCAUCCAGUUCUUUUAAGAACAACUCACAUGCCUGUCAGAGAAGACAGUUUCUCCAUAGUCCUCUCAAAUGGAGCUCUCCCUCCCAUUUCCCCCAAGUACCUCAAGACAAGAAGAUGGGACCGGCAUCCUCCGAGUUCUGAAUUAUUGAUUAUAAAGGAUGUCUACUUCCUCCUUCAAAAGCCUAGCUGCUUUGAGGGUCAUGGGACCAGCCAAGCCUCCACAUUGCUGGCAUUUACUGACCUCUUGAUGACUAGCCAACCCCACUCCUGAGGACUUGAACACCUGCCUCACCCUCUUCUUCUCCACCUCCAUUCUGUCACCGUUCCUGGUAACGUCAAUGUCUGUCCACAGGUGAAUGCAGUCAGCACCUUCCGUCUUAAUGCUCUCAGUUCUUGACUCUUGACAAUCCUGCUUUCUCCCUGCUUCAACCACGUGCUCCCCACAGUCACCCACCCCUGGCAAAAUCCACCCUCCCAAUCUGCUACAAGCAUCGUCCAGCCACCGACAACCCCUUUUCUUCUUUCAACUCUUUUACUAAUACCAAGGCCUAAGGAUGCCUCCGCCUCACUGAGAUCCCCCUGAAUUUACUGUGGCAGCUCUGACUCGCUCUCUCUCUCUCUCUCUCUCUCUCUCUCUCUCUCCCCCUCUUUGUCUCCCUUCUCAAAAAAUCAUGACCCCAUUUAAACCUAACUGUUCAUAUUCUCCAUGGCUACACCUAAAAAAAAUGUUUCUGGAAAAAGUUAAAAGGCUGCACUGAUUGGCUUGAUGGCAUAUAAAAGCCUCAAAUCUCAAAUGGUCACUCAACAUCUAUCUACUACACUUCUUAGGAAGUCCACUUUACAACUCUCAUGAUGGUUACUGUACACCUUCUCCUCUUUCUUCCAAUUUCCACAAUCUCCUUCUCUACUCCUCUCCCCUGUCAGCUGAUGUCUUGCUUAAAAAUGAAAGCCAAGAAGCCCCUUUAUCUACUAGGCACAAACACCCAUAAGAAUCUACCUCUAGCCAGGGGUAGUAGCAUGUUCCUAGUAGCAGCUUGGGAGGCUAAGGCAGGGGGAUCACAGGUUCAAAGCCAGCCUCCGCAAUCUAGCGAGGCCCUAAACAAUUUAGCAAGACCCUGACUCUAAAUAAAAUAUUUAAGAAGUUAUGGGGAUGUGGCUCAGUGGUUAAGUACCCCUAGGUUCAAUCUCUGGUACUAAAAAAAAGAAAGAAGAGAAAAGAAAGUUUACCUCUCUCCCUGCUUUCUCUUGGGUUAGGGUUAGGGUUAGGGUUAGGUUUAGGCCUUUCUGUUACGGGGACCUGGCAUUCCUGCCCCUGGCCCCUGCUCCUCUUCUGAGACCUGAUUCCACCCUUCACCAUCUCAGGCACUUGGCCUCUGCAUUGUCGGUUUGUCUGACUCUGUCACCUCAUUUUCAUCAGCACAUAAACACGUGCUGUAUCAGGGCCACACAACAUGCGAGUCCACCAGGAGGUAAGAUGACACCAGGGAGCAAGUCCACAUUGCUUUUUUCCUGCAGCGACAAAGUCUUGCUGUGAAAAAACCUCAUCAUCACCUAGACUGAGCCUUUUGCCCAGUGACCUUGCUGCUCUGUGUUUGCUUCACAGAGCGACCUGGUCUGCAGCCCAGGCCUCUGCACCACACUGGGAAUGACACUGCUCUGGAUUUCUGGUCCUUAAACCCUCUCCCUUGGCCUUUCCCCAGCUAUGUCUUGUUCCUGAGCACAGAAGCAUCUCACUGACGAGCUGUUCACUACCUUUGCUUCCUUGAUACACACUUGCUGCUCAGUC